GCUUACAAGUUUGGUUAAAGAGAGACUGACAUGAGCAUAAAGGAAGGGACAUUGAAAGAGGCAGAGAUGAAGGAAGAAAUUGUAACUUACUCCUUUUAUCCCACCCAUCAAAGGAAAGACAAGUUGACAAGUAUUGAUUCUGCAACAAACUGAGAAGAAACCUGGCGAUUCACAACAGAGAGCUGAGAAAUCCUAAGUCUGGAUUCCAGCUAAAUGGGAGCAGACUAAAUAGAGCGGCAGUCGGCGAACUACAUGUAGCCCAUGAACAAAAUCCGGUCCAGCACGUGUGUUUUUUUUUACGGCCCACAAAUGAGUCUGUCUUUACAGAUGAAUGUUAAAACUGGGUUGACAAGAGAGAACACUCACUUUGAACCGCAACUAAACAAAAUAUUAUCACCUUUCCCCUCAAAAAAGGUUUUUGUUCUUCUCAUUAGUAAAUUUGUAUUAUGAC
rnacentral:lncRNA from 10 species